rnacentral:rRNA from 1 species
GGGUGAGUAAUGUCUGGGAAACUGCCUGAUGGAGGGGGAUAACUACUGGAAACGGUAGCUAAUACCGCAUAACGUCGCAAGACCAAAGAGGGGGACCUUCGGGCCUCUUGCCAUCAGAUGUGCCCAGAUGGGAUUAGCUAGUAGGUGGGGUAAUGGCUCACCUAGGCGACGAUCCCUAGCUGGUCUGAGAGGAUGACCAGCCACACUGGAACUGAGACACGGUCCAGACUCCUACGGGAGGCAGCAGUGGGGAAUAUUGCACAAUGGGCGCAAGCCUGAUGCAGCCAUGCCGCGUGUAUGAAGAAGGCCUUCGGGUUGUAAAGUACUUUCAGCGAGGAGGAAGGCAUUGUGGUUAAUAACCACAGUGAUUGACGUUACUCGCAGAAGAAGCACCGGCUAACUCCGUGCCAGCAGCCGCGGUAAUACGGAGGGUGCAAGCGUUAAUCGGAAUUACUGGGCGUAAAGCGCACGCAGGCGGUCUGUCAAGUCGGAUGUGAAAUCCCCGGGCUCAACCUGGGAACUGCAUUCGAAACUGGCAGGCUAGAGUCUUGUAGAGGGGGGUAGAAUUCCAGGUGUAGCGGUGAAAUGCGUAGAGAUCUGGAGGAAUACCGGUGGCGAAGGCGGCCCCCUGGACAAAGACUGACGCUCAGGUGCGAAAGCG